rnacentral:tRNA from 1 species
UGUGGUGUAGUUCAGUGGUAGAGUGCUUGCCUAGCACAUGUGAGGCACUGGGUUUGAUCCUCAGCACCACAU